rnacentral:rRNA from 1 species
GAUGAACGUUGGCGGUGUGCCUAAUACAUGCAAGUCGAACGGAGUCAGUAGCAAUAUUGGCUCAGUGGCGAACGGGUGAGUAACGCGUUGGUGAUCUGCCUUGAAGUGUGGAAUAACGUUUCGAAAGAGACGCUAAUACCGCAUGUGCUCUCGAUUUUCAGAAAGUUGAGAGUAAAGGAUUUAUUCGCUUCAAGAGGAGCCUGCGUCCCAUCAGCUGGUUGGUAGGGUAACGGCCUACCAAGGCUAUGACGGGUAGGGGACCUGAGAGGGUGGCCCCCCACAAUGGAACUGAAACACGGUCCAUACACCUACGGGUGGCAGCAGUAGGGAAUAUUAGAAAUGGACGAAAGUCUGAUCUAGCAACACCGCGUGUGCGAAGAAGGCC